rnacentral:misc_RNA from 1 species
GAUCAUUACCGAGUUAUACAACUCAUCAACCCUGUGAACAUACCUAAAACGUUGCUUCGGCGGGAACAGACGGCCCCGUAACACGGGCCGCCCCCGCCAGAGGACCCCCUAACUCUGUUUCUAUUAUGUUUCUUCUGAGUAAAACAAGCAAAUAAAUUAAAACUUUCAACAACGGAUCUCUUGGCUCUGGCAUCGAUGAAGAACGCAGCGAAAUGCGAUAAGUAAUGUGAAUUGCAGAAUUCAGUGAAUCAUCGAAUCUUUGAACGCACAUUGCGCCCGCCAGUAUUCUGGCGGGCAUGCCUGUUCGAGCGUCAUUACAACCCUCAGGCCCCCGGGCCUGGCGUUGGGGAUCGGCGAGGCGCCCCCUGCGGGCACACGCCGUCCCCCAAAUACAGUGGCGGUCCCGCCGCAGCUUCCAUUGCGUAGUAGCUAACACCUCGCAACUGGAGAGCGGCGCGGCCACGCCGUAAAACACCCAACUUCUGAAUGUUGACCUCGAAUCAGGUAGGAAUACCCGCUGAACUUAAGCAUAUCAAUAAGCGGAGGAAAAGAAACCAACAGGGAUUGCCCCAGUAACGGCGAGUGAAGCGGCAACAGCUCA